AACGUGGAUAGUCGCUGCCCCUCUCAUCUUAUCCUCUUCCUCCUCAUCUUCUGUCAGUCACUCGCUCCUCUCUCUGUUUCAGUCAAUGUCCUCUGCUCAUCCUCUUCCUGUCGCGAGCUGGGGUUCGUGGGGUUAGUUGCUAGAUCUUCUCCCACUGCCUCAUCUUCUCCUACUGCUUCAGUCCAUGGCUUCUGUUCUUCCUCUUCCUGUCAUGAGCUAGGGUUCUUGGGGUUUGUUGCUAGGUGUUUCUAAUCGGGCGGUUUGGUUGCUGUUGGAUUGGAUUUCCUGGCAUCUUAUUUUUUUCCAGGUCUUCACAGUCGGGUGUUUUGGUUGCUGUAGGAUCUGCCGUUGCUAUGGUGUCAAUGAUUUUUUUUCUUACACUUUUGCCUGAUGAGGAAUUUCUGGAAGUUUAGGUUUUCGGGAGAUAUAUGGUUUGCCCCAUUUGUCGUUGCCUGGGUGCCCCUUGUGUACCAUUUACGGCAAAUCAAGAAGUUCCUGAAGUUUUCGAUGUUCUGCUUGAUGAGGACUGCUUUAGGAGGAUGUUUUUCUGUAGUGGAUGUUUGGCCGACUGGAGAAGGACUUUGGAAGGAAGAAAUGUGAGCAGAAGAACUACAGAGAGGUCAGAACAGAUCUGAGGUUUGUUCCAGCGUCCAUGGCAGCGGUUGAGUCGUGCGAUGUCGAGGAAGGGAAAGGAAGGAAGAAGACCUAGUGCUGUGCGUUAGAUGGAUGUUGUGUAGUGCGUUAGAUUUUGGGCUGAAUGCAGAUGGCAGAAACAACAUACUCAGAAGUUUUUCUGCGUUGUUGGGCUUUGUUGACUGGCCCCUAUUUUGUGUCAGUCAUUUUCCUAUGC